GGCGCCGUUUCCAGUUGAGAGAUGGCGGCCGCCGCAGGUAGAUCGCUCCUGCUGCUCCUCUCUUCCCGGGGCGGCGGCGGGGGCGCCGGCGGCUGCGGGGCGCUGACUGCGGGCUGCUUCCCGGCCCUGGCGGUCAGCCGCCACCGGCAGCAGCAGCACCACCGGACGGUCUUUCACUACCAUUCCUACAGUGGUUGGCAAGAUAUCGUUUCCACCUCACUCUCCAUGUACCAUGCCAGUGACAUCUUAGCUGCUAGAGUGUGGAGCUGGCCUGUGGGAGUCAAGUAUUGGUGAUAUGACGUGUUCAUGCAGGGGAAACUUGAACAUUGACAGGUCCACCAGAGGCUCUCCUCCUGGCAGAAUUUGGGAGUUGUUUAUUGCAGUACUGUUGUGCCCUCUGAUGAUGUGACAGUGGUUUAUCAAAAUGGGUUACCAGUGAUAUCUGUAAGGCUACCAUCCCGGCGUGAACGCUGCCAGUUCACACUCAAACCUAUCUCAGACUCCGUUGGUGUGUUUUUACGGCAACUGCAAGAAGAGGAUCGGGGAAUUGACAGAGUUGCGAUCUAUUCUCCAGAUGGUGUUCGAGUUGCUGCCUCAACAGGAAUAGACCUCCUCCUCCUUGAUGACUUUAAACUGGUCAUUAAUGACUUAACAUAUCAUGUACGACCACCAAAAAGAGACCUCUUAAGCCAUGAAAACGCAGCCACGCUGAAUGACGUGAAGACGCUGGUCCAACAGCUCUACACCACACUGUGCAUCGAGCAGCACCAGCUAAACAAGGAGAGGGAGCUUAUCGAGAGAUUAGAAAACCUCAAAGAGCAGCUGGCUCCCCUGGAAAAGGUACGAAUCGAAAUUAGCAGAAAAGCUGAGAAGAGGACCACUUUGGUGCUAUGGGGUGGCCUUGCCUACAUGGCCACACAGUUUGGCAUUUUGGCCCGGCUCACCUGGUGGGAAUAUUCCUGGGACAUCAUGGAGCCAGUCACCUACUUUAUCACUUAUGGAAGUGCCAUGGCAAUGUAUGCAUAUUUUGUAAUGACACGCCAGGAAUAUGUUUAUCCAGAAGCCAGAGACAGACAAUACUUACUAUUUUUCCAUAAAGGAGCCAAAAAGUCACGUUUUGACCUAGAAAAAUAUAAUCAACUCAAGGAUGCAAUUGCUCAGGCAGAAAUGGAUCUUAAGAGACUGAGAGACCCAUUGCAAGUGCAUCUCCCCCUCCGACAAAUUGGUGAAAAAGAUUGAUCUGCAAAGAGCCUGUGAAUCCUGGCAGAAAGAACACCUGUUUAUAACUCUUGCCUUUUUAAUUAAAGCAUUGCAGGUGGAAGCUGGGAGCCAUGUGGGGUAGAGGGUUUUUACCUUUAAUUAUAAAACAAAAAGGAUCUUAGAGAAAAAAGGAAUGUUAAAUCUGAGGAUCAGGCAUUGUGGAACAUAAGCUCAAAGGGCUUAGUGAAUAUUGUCUUAAUCAAGCAUCUUAGUUUCUGAAUGAAAAUGAUGCAUUUAUAUAGUUGAGAGAUUCACAAAGAGAAAACAAUGCUGGGGGUGUUGGUUUCUUGCAUCUUCUUCACAGGGUCAGCAAAACGGUAACACACCAGCACCCCACCAAGCUCUAUUUUUUUUUAAUUUAACAUUUCUUAUUUUUGACAUAGGAAUAAAUAAAUAUACCUGAAAAGCAAAUCCUCAUGAUACGUGGGUGGCAACAGAGUCUGAGCCCAUAUCAUUAGCAUUUAUUUUAAAUUGAACCCAGUCUCUGCAAAGUUACUAGGAAUCUCUUCCUCUAGUCCCCCCUUUCUGACCAACUACCUGUUGGUUACACUGAUUUUAUCCAAAUGAUGAUUGGAACCGACUAUGACUGAUAAUUGACACUUUGGAGUUCCCUUAAUACCUUCUUCAAUGUCUAUAUAUCCCAGUGCUCUGGAUCAGUAUCUAGAAAUCAUUGGCAAUACUGCAUGAAGUUUCUCUGUUUUGUUUUGUUUUUUAUAAUUAGUCUUUCAGAGGAGGAAAAAUUUCCCUCCUUUAAAUACCUAUCCCUCUCCCUCCACAACUCAGAUCAGAGGAGGGUGUUCAGCUGUAUUACCAAAUCAGGAAGAUGUAAGGUUUACAAAUUGACUAAAAAUCAUGGCUCUUUAGCUAUUUCAGAACCAGAAUAAUCUCAUUGCUGUUAAUCUGCUUGUAUGACAGUUCCGGGCCACCCAGAUGGCACUGCUGUGUCUGGGGGCUUUAUUAAUCUUAAAGGACACACUYCCACACUGUUUGUGAGCUCUCCCACCUCCACCACCCAGUCGUUAUAAAUCAAGUGUGUGGAUCUCCAAGGGUGCAAUUUCUCUUUAUACAGGAAUACAUUUCUAUGGCUUCCUUCAGCCUACCCUCUCCACCCUAUUUUUCUUAUAUUCAAAUGAGAGAAAGAAAAAUUGAUCUUAUACUCUGUCAAAAUGUUUUCUACCGCAUUUCCAGAUGACAUCUGCAUGUGGAGAGUAAAGGAAUCUGUGUGUGAUAUCAUGUUUUUAAUGACUGUGAGGGCAGGAUGGCCAGGAGGAUGGGGGCUCGCUACACAUCUGAUUGUCUUUCUUUCACAUGACUCAUCCCUCCUCAUGUGACAAGAAGUUUCUUUUUCUUCCUCCUUUGGGAUCAUUGUGUAUGAAAAGAAAACCUUUAAAUGACAAACCCAGACUCCAGGUGCCUUGCAGAGGUCAAAGGCCAGACUGCUGCUCCCGCCACCACCCUUCACUGGCAUGAUGGAAUGAAAGGAUGCAUGCCCGCCCCCAGCCCGCCUCCAACUUCCUUCCCUGUCCUUCAGCCCCUCCCUCAUUUAUUUUUGUUGUGUGGAUUAUUUUUAAACCAUUUAUCCUGUUUGUGUCAGGGUUUUUAAGAAGAAACAGCACAGUGCAAUGAGCAAAUCCUUUUGGGGUGUGUGGGAGGCAAGGGAGGGAGGACUCGGAGAAAAGUCCUUAAAACAAAUAGCAAAAUAUUGAACAUGUGUAAAAUCCUGUAUCAUUUAUGAAAUAUGUAUAAAAAGCAAUGUACCUUCUGGAACAAUAAAUACUUAUUCAAUUUUUGAA